AGUUAAUGGAACUUCCCCAAAUCCGGGAAUCUCCCACGACUGUACACUUACGACUUAGUAUAAACAACAGAUAACCUAUUCAGACUUUAAGAUGCCAUCUUGAACUAAGUCAGGAAAAUUUCCAUGACGUAUACACCCUUUAGUUAUGGCCUUGUAUGUUUGCCAAAUUAAGGGAGGUCCUAAAUUGAAUAAAGUAAAAGAAGUGUUACUUUUUCAUAUUUGAACUACAGUAACCUAAAAUGGAGACAGAGGUAUAAAUAGG